rnacentral:misc_RNA from 1 species
GGAAGGAUCAUUAAAAUAAACGGUGUUCCAACCGGGACACCGUUUAAGAUAACACCCAUGUAUUACAACUACCUCUGUUUCCUCGGCAGGCUCGCCUGUCAACGGGGACUACGAUAUAACCUUGUUGCAAUAGCAGUAAACGUUUCAAAUGAAUUAUCAAAACUUUCAACAACGGAUCUCUUGGUUCUGGCAUCGAUGAAGAACGCAGCGAAAUGCGAUAAGUAGUGUGAAUUGCAGAAUUCAGUGAAUCAUCGAAUCUUUGAACGCACAUUGCGCCCUUUGGUAUUCCUUAGGGCAUGCCUGUUCGAGCGUCAUYUAACCCUUCAAGCUCUGCUUGGUGUUGGGCGCUUGUCCCACCUUUGGUGAGGACUCGCCUUGAAGUAAUUGGCGGCCGUUCUGUAGGGCUAUGAGCGCAGUACAUCUCGCUGCUCCAGCUCCCCAGCCAGCGUCCAGCAAGCGCAUACCAAAGAAAUUGACCUCGGAUCAGGUAGGGAUACCCGCUGAACUUAAGCAUAUCAAUAAGCGGAGGAAAAGAAACCAACAGGGAUUGCCUCAGUAACGGCGAGUGAAGCGGCAACAGCUCAAAUUUGAAAUCUGGCUCCUUUGGGGUCCGAGUUGUAAUUUGUAGAGGGUGCUUUGGCGAAGGCUAUGGCCCAAGUUCCUUGGAACAGGACGUCACAGAGGGUGAGAACCCCGUACGUGGCCGUUGGCCUGAGCCGUGUAAAGCCCCUUCGACGAGUCGAGUUGUUUGGGAAUGCAGCUCUAAAUGGGAGGUAAAUUUCUUCUAAAGCUAAAUAUUGGCCAGAGACCGAUAGCGCACAAGUAGAGUGAUCGAAAGAUGAAAAGCACUUUGGAAAGAGAGUCAAAAAGCACGUGAAAUUGUUGAAAGGGAAGCGCUUGCAGCCAGACUUGCGAUGAGUGUAUGCUCGGGUGUCUGCCCCUGCUUCCUCUCAAUCGCAGGCCAGCAUCAGUUUGGGCGGCUGGAUAAAGGCCUUGGGAAUGUAGCUCUCUCCGGGGAGUGUUAUAGCCCUCGGUGUCAUGCAGCCAGCCUGGACUGAGGUUCGCGCAUCUGCUAGGAUGCUGGCGUAAUGGCUGUAAGCGGCCCGUCUUGAAACACGGACCAAGGAGUCUAACAUCUAUGCGAGUGUUUGGGUGUCAAGCCCAGGCGCGUAAUGAAAGUGAACGGAGGUGGGAACCCUCAAGGGUGCACCAUCGACCGAUCCUGAUGUCUUCGGAUGGAUUUGAGUAAGAGCAUAGCUGUUGGGACCCGAAAGAUGGUGAACUAUGCCUGAAUAGGGUGAAGCCAGAGGAAACUCUGGUGGAGGCUCGCAGCGGUUCUGACGUGCAAAUCGAUCGUCAAAUUUGGGCAUAGGGGCGAAAGACUAAUCGAACUAUCUAGUAGCUGGUUCCUGC